rnacentral:lncRNA from 1 species
GCAAUGCCGGAUCCUUAACCCACUGAGCAAGGCCAGGGAUCAAACCCACAACCUCAUGGUUCCUAGUCGGAUUCGUUAACCACUGAGCCACAACAGGAACUCCUGACCCAUGGAUUAUUUAGAAAUAUGUUGUUUAAUUUCCAAGUAUUUGGAAAUGUUUCUGUUGCCUUUAACUUACUGACUUCUAAUUAGAUUUUAUUAUAGACAGAAAACAUACUCUGUAUGAUUUCAGUUCUUUUAAAUUGGUUAGGAUUUGUUGUAUGACCUAGAACAUGGUCGUGAUGGUGAAUGUCCCAUGAGCACUUGAAUAGAAUAUGUAUUCUGCUAUUGCUGGGCAGAGUGUUUUAUAAAUGUCUGUUAGAUACAGUAGGCUGAAGGUAUUGUUGAUUCCUCUGUAUCCUUGCUGAUUUUAUCUCUACUAGCUCUAUCAAAUUCUGCAAGCUGCAAGCUGGGUGUUGAAAUACCCAAUGGCAAUGGUGAAUUUGUCUAUUUCUACUUUCAUCUCUUACUGGUUUUUGCUGGGUGCUACACAUACUCAGCAUUGCUACAUCCUGGUGGACCGAUUGAUCCUUAUAUCAUUAUGUAAUGCCUGCUUUUGUUCCUAAUAAUUUUCCUGCUCUAAAGUUUACUUUAUUGAUGUUCUUAUAGUCUCUGGUACUUUUUUUUCUAAUUCCUAUUUACAUGAUACAUCUUUUCCCAUCUGUUUACUUCCUAUUUAUCCAUGCUAUUUUUGAGCUCAUUUUCUUAGUCUGUGUAUAUUUAAUUCAUGUGUAUUAUUCACUCUAUAUCUACCUAUUUUUAAUUUUUUUCCAACUCUAAUGAGGAAUAGUUGAUCUCUAUCUUUUAAUUGUUGUAUUUAAAUUAAUCAUUGAGGAGUUCCCUACGUGGUGCAGCAGAAACGAAUCUGACUAGGAACCAUGAGGUUGUGGGUUCAAUCCCUGGCCUUCCUCAGUGGGGCCAGGGAUCGAACCCGCAACCUCAUGGUUCCUAGUCGGAUUCGUUAACCACUGCGCCAUGACAGGAGCUCCAUAUAUUAGGAGACUUUUAAAUGCUACUUAAAUCUUUUUAGCAGAUACUCACCUUUUCUAAGUGUAACGUCUAGGUUCUAAGCUACUUUUGUGGGCUGUAGUUCAAGUGACAUCUUAGUUUUCAGAGCCCUUGAUGUUCUAUUCUGUCUGCUUCAUUCUUUGGAUAUUUGAGGGCUCUCACUCAGGCCCUGCAAGUGCUGCCUGAAAUUGCUUCCCUGGGCUACCUAGAGCUGCAAGUUCGCCUUCAGCCAAGGACGGUGGAGAGACUGAAGCCACAGGAUCUGGCUCUUCUCAUGCUGUUGGGUGGAGGAUGGAACAAUGCUAGGCUGAAUCAGCCUACCUGCCAGUACCCCAGGUGUGGAGAGGGGGUUGGGCCAGCCCAGUGUGGCUUUGAAGGCAAAUGGCACUCCCUGCUGUGCCCCCUUAGCCCCCUCCAUUUUGGCUCUUUCAGAUUUCUCCUUUCUGGGUUCUUUGGUCAUAUUUUAUUGUUUGCUUGUUUGUCAGCACCCAUUGGUGCUUCCAGUUUUCAGGCCUCUCUGGCAUCCAUAUGAGGCAUAAGGAAGAUAAAAAGAACUCACCACAUCAUCAGCCCUCAAGUCCUGUGUUCUCUAAUGAGUCCACCUCUUCUUCCCCGCUUUCAGAAUACUUGAUCUUUGUCUGUUGGAUUGUGUCCAAGCUAUUUAGUUGUUUUGGGGAGGCGGGGGAGGAGAAGGGAUACAUGAGCUUACAGUUUCUUGUUCUGGAAUGGGAUGUGCUAAUAAAGAUUUGGCAGAUGGAAAGAGGAAUGGACCUCUGGAAUUCCGUGGCUGCAAGAGCCACUGCGGGGCCUUGGUACAGAGUGGACAGGCUGUAAUCAUUGGUUGAAUUCAUAAGCAGGUGGCAUUUGCAUACUUUAACUUCAGUAUGCUAAAGGCAGAGGCUCUUUUCCCCUGAAUUCUUGGACAAGGACUUCUCAGGGCUUUGAGGCUUCCUCUUUCUGAGAAAAGACCACAAUGUCUCAGGUAGCCUGAAGGUAGGAGUUUGCUAUUGUCCAAAAGCUGGUGACACUGUCUCUUUUUGUCUCUCUAUACCUCUGUCCGUCCAUCCAUCUGUCUGUAUAUAUGCAUGGAUCUAUCUAAUGACCUCAAGCUGAAGAAAAGGAAUUAUAAAACCGUUUAACCAUUUAACUUUUUGCUCUUUUUUCCGAAAAGAAGAAAAUUCGCUCUUCAGUAUCCUGAUAUACUUAGCAUAAGAAGUCAGGACUCGAAAACAUUCCCUUAGCUAAAAUCUUUCUUCAAGAAAAAGGCCAAUAUUUAAAAUAUAGAAAUAAUAAAAAAUUUAAAUUUUCGCUCAUAGCAGCACCAGAUUUACAUGACAGAAUGUCAGCAUUUUUCAAAGAGGUUCAUGCGGAGAUUUCAAUGAGAUUUCCUUCAGCUCAUAGUUCCUUAUGCUCUGUGCAUAUUAUGGUGCCUCUCAGAUGUGGCUUUUUAAAUGAAAGAAUUUUAAUGAAGCAGUAAAUAACUCUACAGUGAGGGGAUCAACUGUGAGGGGUGUGUUUCAUACAGGAUCACACCCGCAGGUUUUGUUUUUGUAAAUCUGAAUGUUCCUCCCCAACAGAUACCCCACUUUUUGGAUUCAAGAGAUGAAAUACACAAGGAAUUCAUUAAGGAAUCAGGCUUUGGUGGGACAGCUUUGAUUUGACACUUUUGAAAUAUGAUCCAGGUCACAGCGGUGAAUGGUGCAAACCUCUUUUUUGGCAACAGCAUCUGGACUUGAUUAUUUUAAAUUAGGUUGCGGGGCGCUGGCAUCCACCCUUCUGUGAAGCAGCUACUGCAAACUGCCCUUGUAUCCCGAGAUAAGAUGGGAAAUUAGAUGAGUUCUGAAUACUUAGAAAUAAACUUUUAUAUUAAUUCUCAACUUUGUUGUCUCCAGUGCCCUGUUUGUUUAAGCUUCUAGAAUUGCACCUUUUAUCUUUCAUUAGCGAGGAUGGCUUUCAUGCCAAAGAUAAAUUAAACCUGGAGCCUUUUCUUAGUAUUUAACUUCCUGUGCAAUCAUAAGUGACACUAAAUAGGUUCUUCUAUGAAUAUUUAUUAAAUGAAUGGACAAUUAACCCCCCCCCAAUAAUCUACCAUUAAAGACAUGCGAGUGUUUCUGGGAGGUCCGUGAGCAGCCUUGUGGAUCCCUCCUGCACACUUUCCAGGGCUUCACUCCCUUUCCAUCUCCAGUGGUCAGGCUUUCAAAACUCAGGUGUCUUCUUCCCUCUACCCUGACUGCAGGCCAACAAAAGGAUGUAAAAUUGGGUUUAAACCCAGUUUUCAGUAGCAAAUAUGUACAGUUUUCUGAUUCCAGGCAUGUUUGCAUUUGAACAUUUGUUUUUCAGAAUGAGAAUCUUCAUCAAAGAGAAAGAAAACAACCCCACACUUUAACAUCUAACAAGUUCCUCUUUUAUGUUGUUUCAGAAAUAGUCAUGCAGCCAUUUCUUUAAUUAAAUUCAUAGAACCCAAAUUCCAAAUGCACUGAUGUUUCAAAAUGAAUGGUUCUUUUGAUGAGCUUCAAAUUUGAAAGGGUUUGAGAGCAAAUAUGUUGGGAAGAAGUUCUUCACCAAGGAGAUCUGGAUGGAAUGUGAACCUACUUUUGGACACACACGUGUGAAGGUGACACAAUUGGAUCCCACUUAUUCUUCUCCCCAAGACUUAGCUUAAAAACACCCAAGAGUAUAGACUAUUAGCAUCUGUAGCAUUAGGCCUCAAAGCUCUCCAAGAAAUUGCAACUCAUUUAAACCCCACAAAAGUCUUCUUACAGAUGAGAAAAAGAGACGAGUUCCCUUGUGGCACAAUGGGUUCAGGAUCUAGCACUGUCCCUGCAGCAGCUUAGGCCGCUGCUGUGGUAUGGGGUCAAUCCCUGGCCCAAGAAAUUCCACAUGCCACAGCUGCAGUCAAACCAAACAAAUGAAAAUAAACAAAACAAAACAAAAAGAGAGAGAGAGAAAGACAGAGAGGGAAACUAACUUGCCUGUGGUCCUACAGCCAGGAUGUCACUCAGACCUGUCCUUGACUCCUAUUUACUCCACUUGCAGUACUAUUCUUCUACUACACAGCCAUCCAAAAUGGGCUAAAAAAAAGUAUCCCUGGAAGAUAAAAUCCUGGGAUAACAACAGUUUCCAAAAGGGCCCUUGACGCCCCACUGACUUCUAUCCCAAUGUGACUUUCCUUCGUUUCACUGACCUGUACAUGUUUUGGGUCCCUCUCACCACUUUCUUUCAAAUUUGGGGGUUUUUUUUCCCUUUCAAGUGACAGUGUUUAUUUUUUUUCUUUCGUAUACCAAAAAUGAUUCUUACAAACCACAAAGUGAGAGAAACAUAUUUAUUUGUUAGAGAAUAGGUAUUUAGAUUGUCGGAGAUAUUAUCAUAAUAAUUAUUAGUAUUAUUGUUAGACCAUGCCCAGGGCAUGAGGAAGUUCCCAGGCCAGGAAACAGAUCUGCACCAUGGCAGUGACCAGAGCCCCAGCAGUGUUAAGCACUUGAUCCUUAACCCACUGAGCCACCAGGGAACUCCUUAGAAACAUUAUUGAUAUUCUUGGGAUAUUGUUCCAGAAUCACUUUUCAUCUGUUUUUGGAUAGGCAGAACAGACUCUUUGAUGUUAGAAACAGAGGACUCUGGAGUCAGGAAGAUAAAAUUUCAAUAAGGGUCUUCUAUUUUCUUAGCUCUG